rnacentral:ncRNA from 1 species
AAAACGUCCGUAGUCGAAUUUACACCUGGUGCCUGAACCGCCGGUUCUUCAUUGAGCUGGAUUGGUUUCAGGCCCGGUGAUAAAGUCUGGUCUAUAGCUUGGUUGGCUUCGGUCGGCUGAGUUCCCAGGUCAGGCGUAUUACCAUGAGCAAAUCAGAAUGCUCAAAGUAGGCCUACACGCCUGAAUGUGUUAGCAUGGAAUAAUAAAAUAGGACUCGAGUCUUGUUUUGUUGGUUUACCUGACAUUGAGAAAUGAUGAAUAGGAACGGUUGGGGGCAUUUGUAUUUGGCCGCUAGAGGUGAAAUUCUUGGAUUGGCCGAAGACAAACUACUGCGAAAGCAUUUGACCCAGGACGUUUUCAUUGAUCAGGGACUAAAGUUGAGGGAUCGAAGACGAUUCCCGGGGUUUUUUGUCGUCUGGAUAUAAUCCUUGAGUUCUACGCGUAUUUUACGCCAAAAAGAAAAGAAAAAGUAAAUUUCAUGGAGCAUAACAAACUUUUCU